GACAGAGGUGCCAAGCGUUAGGCGGAAUCACUGGCUUAAAGCGUGUGUAGGCGGGUGCCUAAGUACCUUGUGAAAUCCCCCGGCUCAACCGGGGAACUGCUGGGUAUACUGGGUGCCUUGGGUCAUCUAGGGGCUGCCGGAACAAAUGGUGGAGCGGUGAAAUGCGUAGAUAUCAUUUGGAACGCCAACGGCGAAAGCAGGCAGCUGGGGGAUGCACCGACGCUGAGACACGAAAGCCAGGGGAGCGAACGGG
rnacentral:rRNA from 1 species